AGUGAACGCCGGCGGUAGGCCUAACGCAUGCAAGUCGAACGGCAGCACAGUAAGAGCUUGCUCUUACGGGUGGCGAGUGGCGGACGGGUGAGGAAUACAUCGGAAUCUACUUUUUCGUGGGGGAUAACGUAGGGAAACUUACGCUAAUACCGCAUACGACCUACGGGUGAAAGCAGGGGAUCUUCGGACCUUGCGCGAUUGAAUGAGCCGAUGUCGGAUUAGCUAGUUGGCGGGGUAAAGGCCCACCAAGGCGACGAUCCGUAGCUGGUCUGAGAGGAUGAUCAGCCACACUGGAACUGAGACACGGUCCAGACUCCUACGGGAGGCAGCAGUGGGGAAUAUUGGACAAUGGGCGCAAGCCUGAUCCAGCCAUACCGCGUGGGUGAAGAAGGCCUUCGGGUUGUAAAGCCCUUUUGUUGGGAAAGAAAAGCAGCAGGUUAAUACCCUGCUGUUCCGACGGUACCCAAAGAAUAAGCACCGGCUAACUUCGUG
rnacentral:rRNA from 1 species